UACGAAGGGGGCUAGCGUUGCUCGGAAUCACUGGGCGUAAAGCGCACGUAGGCGGAUCUUUAAGUCAGGGGUGAAAUCCUGGAGCUCAACCCCAGAACUGCCUUUGAUACUGGGGAUCUCGAGUCCGGGAGAGGUGAGUGGAACUGCGAGUGUAGAGGUGAAAUUCGUAGAUAUUCGCAAGAACACCAGUGGCGAAGGCGGCUCACUGGCCCGGUACUGACGCUGAGGUGCGAAAGCGUGGGGAGCAAACAGG
rnacentral:rRNA from 1 species